rnacentral:rRNA from 1 species
GAUGAACGCUGGCGGCGUGCCUAAUACAUGCAAGUCGAGCGAGCGGACGAGAAGCUUGCUUCUCUGAUGUUAGCGGCGGACGGGUGAGUAACACGUGGAUAACCUACCUAUAAGACUGGGAUAACUUCGGGAAACCGGAGCUAAUACCGGAUAAUAUUUUGAACCGCAUGGUUCAAAAGUGAAAGACGGUCUUGCUGUCACUUAUAGAUGGAUCCGCGCUGCAUUAGCUAGUUGGUAAGGUAACGGCUUACCAAGGCAACGAUGCAUAGCCGACCUGAGAGGGUGAUCGGCCACACUGGAACUGAGACACGGUCCAGACUCCUACGGGAGGCAGCAGUAGGGAAUCUUCCGCAAUGGGCGAAAGCCUGACGGAGCAACGCCGCGUGAGUGAUGAAGGUCUUCGGAUCGUAAAACUCUGUUAUUAGGGAAGAACAUAUGUGUAAGUAACUGUGCACAUCUUGACGGUACCUAAUCAGAAAGCCACGGCUAACUACGUG